rnacentral:rRNA from 1 species
CUGGCGGGGUGCCUAAUACAUGCAAGUCGAGCGAACAGAUAAGGAGCUUGCUCCUUUGACGUUAGCGGCGGACGGGUGAGUAACACGUGGGUAACCUACCUAUAAGACUGGAAUAACUCCGGGAAACCGGGGCUAAUGCCGGAUAACAUUUAGAACCGCAUGGUUCUAAAGUGAAAGAUGGUUUUGCUAUCACUUAUAGAUGGACCCGCGCCGUAUUAGCUAGUUGGUAAGGUAACGGCUUACCAAGGCAACGAUACGUAGCCGACCUGAGAGGGUGAUCGGCCACACUGGAACUGAGACACGGUCCAGACUCCUACGGGAGGCAGCAGUAGGGAAUCUUCCGCAAUGGGCGAAAGCCUGACGGAGCAACGCCGCGUGAGUGAUGAAGGUCUUCGGAUCGUAAAACUCUGUUAUUAGGGAAGAACAAAUGUGUAAGUAACUGUGCACGUCUUGACGGUACCUAAUCAGAAAGCCACGGCUAACUACGUGCCAGCAGCCGCGGUAAUACGUAGGUGGCAAGCGUUAUCCGGAAUUAUUGGGCGUAAAGCGCGCGUAGGCGGUUUCUUAAGUCUGAUGUGAAAGCCCACGGCUCAACCGUGGAGGGUCAUUGGAAACUGGGAAACUUGAGUGCAGAAGAGGAAAGUGGAAUUCCAUGUGUAGCGGUGAAAUGCGCAGAGAUAUGGAGGAACACCAGUGGCGAAGGCGACUUUCUGGUCUGUAACUGACGCUGAUGUGCGAAAGCGUGGGGAUCAAACAGGAUUAGAUACCCUGGUAGUCCACGCCGUAAACGAUGAGUGCUAAGUGUUAGGGGGUUUCCGCCCCUUAGUGCUGCAGCUAACGCAUUAAGCACUCCGCCUGGGGAGUACGACCGCAAGGUUGAAACUCAAAGGAAUUGACGGGGACCCGCACAAGCGGUGGAACAUGUGGUUUAAUUCGAAGCAACGCGAAGAACCUUACCAAUUCUUGACAUCCUUUGACAACUCUAAAGAUAGAGCCUUCCCCUUCGGGGGACAAAGUGACAG